CAGCAGCCGCGGUAAUACGGAGGAUCCAAGCGUUAUCCGGAUUUAUUGGGUUUAAAGGGUGCGUAGGUGGCUUUUUAAGUCAGGGGUGAAAGACGGUAGCUUAACUAUCGCAGUGCCUUUGAUACUGAAGAGCUUGAAUGAACUGGAGGUAAGCGGAAUGUGACGAGUAGCGGUGAAAUGCAUAGAUAUGUCACAGAACACCAAUUGCGAAGGCAGCUUACUACGGUUUUAUUGACACUGAGGCACGAAAGCGUGGGGAUCAAACAGGAUUAGAUACCCCUGUAGUCCCUGUCUCUUAUAC
rnacentral:rRNA from 1 species